CUCUACUAUUAUCUAGUAUUACUAUAUUUUUCCAUUAACAUAAAAAAGCAUAUUCUUUCUCAUUUUUAUUGAAUAAAUAAAAGUAAUAAAUAAGCAAAAUUUUCAUUUUUAUCUAGAAUUUAAAUUGUAAAAAAAAAAACUUCAUAAAAGAUUAGGAAAAGUAAAAGUAUAUGAUAUAGAAACCUAUAAUAUAAAUGAAUACAAAUAAAAACAAACAAAUCGAACCAAAUUAUAAAAAGUACUUGUUAUUUUUAAAGUUUAAAGAAACUAUGUAAGGCAAAUAGUACUAAAUAAAAAAAGGAGCAAUAACGCCCUCUUGUUUUAUCAAGAGGGAAGCUAUUGCUCCUUUUUUAGUUCAAAAACUCCUAUACAAUCAGACCAAAGUC
rnacentral:misc_RNA from 2 species